CUGCAAUUCAACAAUUUGUCAACAAGUUGUGAGUGACAACCUUGUAGCAACUUGAUAAAAUAACAGCAUUUUUACAACUUGUUGACAAGCUUGCUACGAACUUGUUGCGAACACAUCUUGUUGACAAGUUGUGAGAUUUUUACGUGUGUGCUAUACACGCGUCAGGUUGUUAUAGAUCUGCAAACAAGUUGCAACAAGAUUGUUGUGAAGCCGAUAUCAGGAUGUGUUCGCACUGCUUGUUCCCAGUUGUUGCGACAAGUCUGGAACAAGUUGUUAUCACCUUGUUACAAGCUUGAUGACGGUAACAGACUUGCUACAAGUUGUUCCAACAAGACUAAUACAGGCUGUUCGUAACAAGUUGCUACGAGCUUGUUGUCAUCAA